rnacentral:rRNA from 1 species
GAUGAACGCUGGCGGCGUGCCUAAUACAUGCAAGUAGAACGCUGAAGCUUGGUGCUUGCACCGAGCGGAUGAGUUGCGAACGGGUGAGUAACGCGUAGGUAACCUGCCUCUUAGCGGGGGAUAACUAUUGGAAACGAUAGCUAAUACCGCAUAAAAGUCAAUAUCGCAUGAUAUUGAUUUGAAAGGUGCAAAUGCAUCACUAAGAGAUGGACCUGCGUUGUAUUAGCUAGUUGGUGAGGUAACGGCUCACCAAGGCGACGAUACAUAGCCGACCUGAGAGGGUGAUCGGCCACACUGGGACUGAGACACGGCCCAGACUCCUACGGGAGGCAGCAGUAGGGAAUCUUCGGCAAUGGGGGCAACCCUGACCGAGCAACGCCGCGUGAGUGAAGAAGGUUUUCGGAUCGUAAAGCUCUGUUGUAAGAGAAGAACGAGUGUGAGAGUGGAAAGUUCACGCUGUGACGGUAUCUUACCAGAAAGGGACGGCUAACUACGUGCCAGCAGCCGCGGUAAUACGUAGGUCCCGAGCGUUAUCCGGAUUUAUUGGGCGUAAAGCGGGCGCAGGCGGUUAGAUAAGUCUGAAGCUAAAGGCUGUGGCUUAACCAUAGUACGCUUUGGAAACUGUUUAACUUGAGUGCAGAAGGGGAGAGUGGAAUUCCAUGUGUAGCGGUGAAAUGCGUAGAUAUAUGGAGGAACACCGGUGGCGAAAGCGGCUCUCUGGUCUGUAACUGACGCUGAGGCUCGAAAGCGUGGGGAGCAAACAGG